CCUGGUGGAGGGGGAAAGAAGAGAAUUUAAGAUGAUGUCAUCCCGUCUGCUGCCAUGUUGAAACGCACGUUCAGGCCGGAGAAUGAGACACCAGCGACAGGUUGAUGUUGCGCUUUUUCUAAUAGGCCUGAUUUAAAAUUCUAAAUUCACAGUUACUGGCACUAAAAGAUUUAAAGAAAUGUUCCAGAAAAAAUACGUGUUUGACCUCACUCACCUGUCCUCCACGUCCAGAGAAGACGGUGGUGAGUCCUUUGUGGGCGGGGACAUGUCGGAGGGGGCGGGCCUUGGACUCCUUCAGCUCCGACAGGAGCUCGGGGCUGGACAGGGACAUAGGAGCUGCACACGUUCAAAACAAAUAUAACGGCGUUUGCAUUUGUCAGUUGAUGUUUUCAGCAAGGAGGCGGACGUUCACCGCUCAGAAACUCUGACUGCAGCUCCGGUCGUUGUAGUAACAGACGAGGAGGAGGAGAUGAAGGUGAUGAGUUCAUGGUGAACGUCUGCGGUGGUGGUUGAAGCUUGAGACGAAAAAGUUUAUCUGACGUGACAUCACACGGAUCAGCCAGUAACCCACCAGUUCUCCCAGUUCGGACUCACCGUGCGACCCUGCGGCUCCUACUCGUGACGUCGGCGAUGAGACGGCUCAACGACUUACUGCGGCCAGGACACGCCUGGAUCAUCAGCUGAGGAAGACGGACAACACCAUCGCCUCCGACAGGGAGGAGGGAGAACUGCAGCCGGUCCUUUUCUUUCUUCACCAUUAAAAUUGGAAGAAGAAACAGUAUACCCUUCCUCAGUCUCAUACUAUACAAUGACGUUUUUUCAGUUUUGAUGCCUUACUGCCUUGUACAUAGUAAGGGAUUAUUUGCCAAGCAUGUGUUAACACAAGUGCAAAGAUGCUGGAAUAAUAUGGAUAAAAACAUUACUAUAUAUACAUAAGAUAGAGUACUGCAGUAAAUAUGUCUACAAUAUACACAUAUACUGUCUUAGGUUUUUAAGUGUAUAAAACUACAGUUGUGUUUUUAAAGUUUAGUAGGUGCAGUGGAUGUUCAGUGUUUCUUCCUGUCCUGAUUGGUGGCCGAUGCAAACCAGACAGUGAUGGAUGUGCAGAGAACAGGAAAUACUGUACAUCGUCUGCAGAGCCUCUUGAUGGUGUCUAUGGUAUGUGGCUGACUUGAUGGACCUCGUCUUUGAAAAAGUCUUUGUGGACCUUACAAGGAAGCCAUUUAGAAAAUUCCCAUUCCAGAGGCCAUAGCUGCACAGUAUGAGUGGCCAGACAAGGAGGAGGUCAUAGCCAGAUAUGUGACACGAUUUAACCAAGGGCUCUAAUUCCAACAUGCGCAAAUGUGAAGAUCCACAGACUGGAAUGACGACGCUGAUUGUCUGCCCAAGAAAGCCCCAGCACCAGCUCCCAAAGCUCCUGUAACCAUUAAAAGAAUUGGACAUGGCAUUUAGUCAACAUCUAGCUCUUGCAAACAUCCAUCCUAUCUAUGGUGUUUUUUCCAUAUGGAUUCAAUAAAUCCUACAAAUUUUUAUAAUCACUGAUGGUAUAUUUUGUGAUUAAACAUUAGAACACUGUC